rnacentral:rRNA from 1 species
AUUGAACGCUGGCGGCAUGCCUAACACAUGCAAGUCGAAACGGCAGCACGGCAGUAGCAAUACUGUGGGUGGCGAGUGGCGGACGGGUGAGGAAUACGUCGGAAUCUGCCCAAUCGUGGGGGAUAACUAACCGAAAGGUUAGCUAAUACCGCAUACGACCGAGAGGUGAAAAGCGGGGGGACCGCAAGGCCUCGCGCGAUUGGAUGAGCCGACGUCGGAUUAGCUUGUUGGUGGGGUAAAGGCCUACCAAGGCAACGAUCCGUAGCUGGUCUGAGAGGAUGAAUCAGCCACACUGGAACUGAGACACGGUCCAGACUCCUACGGGAGGCAGCAGUGGGGAA